rnacentral:ncRNA from 1 species
CGAAAGUUUUAUUCUAGCUUAGGAUUUGGCUAGUUAAUUUUAUUAUAUGUGAGAUUUAUUUUUAAGACCGCAUUUACAGUAUUUGGAAUUAGGUAUUAAGGAAACUUAGACUUAGAAAUUUAACGUAGUAUAAACAAAGUUUGUGCCAGCAGUUGCGGUUAUACAGACUGUGCAAGUUAAAUUUAUUUGAUUUAGUUAAAAGGAGCUUGAAAGUUGAAAUUGGUUUUUAUUAGGUGAAAUUUUAAAGAUUUAGUAGGCUUGUCUUGUUGUGUUUGAGGCUAGGAAAUUUUUAAGUAGACUAGGAUUAGAUACCCUAUUAUUUAAAACGUGGUUUUGUUUCAAAAUUAGUAUUAGGUAAGUUCUUGAAAUUUAAAGAUUUUGGCGGUAUUUUAGUCAUUUCAGAGGAACCUGUCACUUAAACGAUAAUCCACGAUUUUAGUUACUUUAGCUUUUAAGUUUGUAUAUCGCCGUAGUUAGAAUAUUUUAUUAGAAUAAUAAUGUUCAUUGUUUUUAUUAAAGGGGAAUUCAGGUCAAGGUGCAGUUUAUGUUAAAGUUGUGAUGGGUUACAUUAGUGUUAAUUAUUGCUAUAAUUUUGUAAAGGUUAUUAAAAUUGGAUUUGAAAGUAAUUAUGUUUAAAUAAACGUAAUGAUUUUGCUCUAAAAUAUGCACAUAUCGCCCGUCGCUUUCAUUUAAAAUGAAAUAAGUCGUAACAAAGUAGGUUUAUUGGAAAAUGGGUCUGGAAUGCG